UCCUCCAAAUUUGUUGUAAAUAAGUGUGAAAAUUUCUUUUGUAUUUCUUCCUCCUGUUCCCAUGUUGCCUCCUCCAAAGUGUGGUGUUGCCACUACACCUUCACAAUCGAGAUCCUCUUAUUGCGCAAGAUUUUAUUUAUCCAAUCGAGGAUUGUAGUUGAAAACUCCUCGUAAGUCAUGUCUAUUUUAACCUGCGUUUCUCAAUGUUGAAUA
rnacentral:lncRNA from 1 species